rnacentral:rRNA from 1 species
GACGAACGCUGGCGGCGUGCUUAACACAUGCAAGUCGAACGGAAAGGCCCUGCUUUUGUGGGGUGCUCGAGUGGCGAACGGGUGAGUAACACGUGAGUAACCUGCCCUUGACUUUGGGAUAACUUCAGGAAACUGGGGCUAAUACCGGAUAGGAGCUCCUGCUGCAUGGUGGGGGUUGGAAAGUUUCGGCGGUUGGGGAGGGACUCGCGGCUUAUCAGCUUGUUGGUGGGGUAGUGGCUUACCAAGGCUUUGACGGGUAGCCGGCCUGAGAGGGUGACCGGCCGCAUUGGGACUGAGAUACGGCCCAGACUCCUACGGGAGGCAGCAGUGGGGAAUAUUGCACAAUGGGCGGAAGCCUGAUGCAGCAACGCCGCGUGCGGGAUGACGGCCUUCGGGUUGUAAACCGCUUUCGCCUGUGACGAAGCGUGAGUGACGGUAAUGGGUAAAGAAGCACCGGCUAACUACGUG